rnacentral:lncRNA from 1 species
AGUGUUCGCGGGAGCGCCGCACCUACACCAGCCAACCCAGAUCCCGAGGUCCGACAGCGCCCGGCCCAGAUCCCCACGCCUGCCAGGAGCAAGCCGAGAGCCAGCCGGCCGGCGCACUCCGACUCCGAGCAGUCUCUGUCCUUCGACCCGAGCCCCGCGCCCUUUCCGGGACCCCUGCCCCGCGGGCAGCGCUGCCAACCUGCCAGCUCCACUCCGCUGUCGCCCACCCGCAUCACCCGGCUGCAGGAGAAGGAGGACCUGCAGGAGCUCAAUGAUCGCUUGGCG